CUUCUUUGUCAAAAGUAAAAUGCAACUCAUAUUAUUAGUACUCAACAGAAUUGUUGGAUUCAUUUAACUAUAAUGGGUUCCUCUGAAAGCACUGCUAAGAACUCGGAUAAAAGAAAAGCUAAUGUGGAGCAGUUGACUGCCACUGAUUCUUCAGAAGAAGUGAUCAAAAGGGUUGCCUUAGCAGCAGCAGGUGUAGCUUUUGUUGGAUGGGGCUUGAGCAAGCUAUUCGAUGGAAAUUCGAACGGACGAGCCAAAAACAAAAAAAUGAUGAAAGCUCCAGGGAGGGACUAUUACAUUUACAGGGAUGACUUUGAGCGUGAUCCUUCUGGCUAUUUCCGCAACCUUCGUCGUGAUUAAGUUACCAUUUAAAAAGAAAGCUAAUUAAGAUUGUUAUGGAAACUAAAAUAUGUUGUUGUUUUACUUUCAUAGUGUGUGGUUUCUUUAAAUUGGUAGUUGGCCUGUCAUGACCCUGUCUUGUUUCGUAAUUCCCGUAUUUGGUAAUCACUAUGUGCUGUUGUUAGGACAUCUUUCUGGUUUAUAUUUUCGUGCAAUGAACUUCUUCUUUAAGUGUAGUGUUAAUUCUUUGUAUUUCCUAUGCUGUGUUCUGUUUUGGUUUACUUCAAUUUUAUCCAUUGUUGCUUUGUUAUGCUUCCUGUAUAGGUUUACUGACUGAACUGUGUCUG
rnacentral:lncRNA from 1 species